rnacentral:rRNA from 1 species
UCGAGAAUCAUUCGCAAUGGGCGAAAGCCUGAACGAGCGACACCGCGUGCGGGAUGAAGGCCCUUGGGUUGUAAACCGCUGUCAGGGGGGAUGAAACCGUAAGGUUGACAGAGCCCCAGAGGAAGCACGGGCUAAGUUCGUGCCAGCAGCCGCGGUAAUACGAACUGUGCGAACGUUACUCGGAAUCACUGGGCUUACAGGGUGCGUAGGUGGCUUGAUAAGCAGGGUGUGAAAUCCCUCGGCUCAACCGAGGAACUGCGCUCUGAACUGUCGAGCUAGAGUAUGCUAGAGGUGAAUGGAACAUCCAGUGGAGCGGUGAAAUGUGUUGAUAUUGGAUGGAACACCAGAGGCGAAGGCGAUUCACUGGGGCAUAACUGACACUGAGGCACGAAAGCCAGGGGAGCAAACGGGAUUAGAUACCCAAGUAGUCCCUGAGCGGGCUGGCAAGGCGCAU